ensembl:lncRNA
CAGACGUGUUAGACUCAUUAGACAAUGUAACAAGCAUUUUGUGCUUAUACCAGGUUGUUUAUGUGUGUGUCAUUCCUCAGCUGCAGAGAUGUAAAGCAGACCUGGAUUUGAGCCUCCCUCCUCCCCUGGACUCAGUUGUCUUGUGGCUGCAGCGAGCGGAGGCAGCGCUAACAGAAGAGGGAGGAGGAGGGGAGGAUCACGCAGAUGCUGCCAAAGAAGCAAGAGUUCAACAGGACACACUAAAGGUUAUUUUUAAUUUGACACUACAGAAGAAAAUCAACAAUCGAAAUCAAACAUUUUCUAGACAACUCUGAAGCGGCAUAUAUGCUGUGGGAUGAGAAUGUUGCAUCUUAUCUUUUGUGCUUCUAAUUUUUGCUGUUUUAUUCUUCAGACUUUAAUUAAGGAGAUGAGCCAUCACGUCAAUAUCCUUGAUACCUACCGCAACAUGGAUGACUCAGGAAAUGUAGUAGUGCCGCUGGAAAAGUUUGAUGAGAUAAAAAGACGGUACGUGAAAUAAUUGUUCAACCUCUGUAAUGUGUAAAAUGUGAUAGAAAUUAAAUCCAUAAAUCUUUAAGUCUCUGUUAAAUGUAUCUGGAGUUCAGCUCCUAUGAAACCCUUACGGAAAGCAUUCACACCCUCUUUGUUUAUGAACAGUUUAACCGAUGUCCGAGUCACUGCCAAGUAUCAAGGGAUUAAGUUGGAAUACCAGGAAUCCCGUCACACUGUUAUGGAUCUUCUGGGUCGCAUCAAUGAUAAGCUUCAGACCUGGAAAGCUCCCUACAGAUCUCAGGAGACAGUUCUUGUGCUUCUGCAGGACUGGCACGACACAGUGGAGCGGCAGGGACUGCUUUUGAUUCUAAUGGACGCUCUCCAAAAUCUGAAGGAGAAGGCGAAUGCUUACACCAGCAAGGCAGCGCUUGGUAUGUGCUACAUGUGUUUGUUCUGUACGCACAAAAUCUCAGUUUUAUCCUUUCAUGAAGAUUCUUUAUUUUUCAAAAGUCAAGCCCUGAUCUCCCCACACUCUUCUCUAUAUCCAGGUGAAGGUUCCCAGUGUGUCACUCGUCAGGUGAAUGAAGCAGAAAGCGAAUCUGAACUGGUUUCACAGGCCGUGACAGCUGUCAGGGGGAUGAUGGAGAGGGUGGUGUCUGCGUGGGAGACCUACAACACCUGCAUAACUUCUCUGCAGACGUGGUUGGCACAAAAAAUACAUUCACACACCCAGUCUCCCGCUGCAGGGACGCAGGGUAUGAGUGAGUGGACGUCAUGUCAGGCUAAGCUAAACCAGGCAGGGAACUUACUCAUCGAAUUGACAGAAUCUUCGACCAGCCUCGCUCUGGCUGAGCAACUCAGCAAGGUCAACAUGCAGUGGGCUGAAUGCAUGAAGAAGACAAUGUUUGAAGUAUCAUCAGAGCCCAGUGUCGGUCCCCUCUGUUUUCAAAUGGUACAUUCACUGACCCAGGAGGCCAGUCAGCUUCUGAGGCAGCCACUGGAUGUGGCCUCUGUCCCACUGAAGGCAAACAGACAGAAGCUACAGCUACUGAGUAAGAAGAUGGCUGACGUGGACCUAUCAUCCCUCAGUUCAUCCCCAGACUUUCAAACAAGCCACAUAGAGAACCUCAUGCAAACGCUCCCACAGAUGCUUGCUGAAGCAGAGAGGAGCUGUGGGGAGCUGCAGAAGGCUGCGUCCAGGCUGGAGGGCCAUCUGGCCGAGCUGGAUCACUGGACCACAGACGCCCAAGACUGUCACCAGCACCUAAAGGAGAAAAAACAUAGAGGACGCUCUGCUGUGGAAUCUACAGUCAAAGUCAGCAAAUCACAGCUUUCCACACCUUCAAACUUACAGAAAAGCAUUUGUUAA